UACGUAGGGUGCAAGCGUUGUCCGGAAUUAUUGGGCGUAAAGAGCUCGUAGGCGGUCUGUCGCGUCUGCUGUGAAAACUCAGGGCUUAACCCUGAGCUUGCAGUGGGUACGGGCAGACUAGAGUGCGGUAGGGGAGACUGGAAUUCCUGGUGUAGCGGUGAAAUGCGCAGAUAUCAGGAGGAACACCGGUGGCGAAGGCGGGUCCCUGGGCCGUAACUGACGCUGAGGCGCGAAAGCCAGGGGAGCGAACGGG
rnacentral:rRNA from 1 species